ACGGGUGAGUAAUGUCUGGGAAACUGCCCGAUGGAGGGGGAUAACUACUGGAAACGGUAGCUAAUACCGCAUAACGUCUUCGGACCAAAGUGGGGGACCUUCGGGCCUCACACCAUCGGAUGUGCCCAGAUGGGAUUAGCUGGUAGGUGAGGUAACGGCUCACCUAGGCGACGAUCCCUAGCUGGUCUGAGAGGAUGACCAGCCACACUGGAACUGAGACACGGUCCAGACUCCUACGGGAGGCAGCAGUGGGGAAUAUUGCACAAUGGGCGCAAGCCUGAUGCAGCCAUGCCGCGUGUAUGAAGAAGGCCUUCGGGUUGUAAAGUACUUUCAGCGGGGAGGAAGGCGAUGCGGUUAAUAACCGCGUCGAUUGACGUUACCCGCAGAAGAAGCACCGGCUAACUCCGUGCCAGCAGCCGCGGUAAUACGGAGGGUGCAAGCGUUAAUCGGAAUUACUGGGCGUAAAGCGCACGCAGGCGGUCUGUCAAGUCGGAUGUGAAAUCCCCGGGCUUAACCUGGGAACUGCAUUCGAAACUGGCAGGCUUGAGUCUCGUAGAGGGGGGUAGAAUUCCAGGUGUAGC
rnacentral:rRNA from 1 species